GUGUCAGCAGCCGCGGUAAUACGAGGGGUGCAAGCGUUAUUCGGAAUGAUUGGGCGUAAAGGGUGCGUAGGCGGUCUGCUAAGUCAAUUGUUUAAUCUCCCGGCCUAACCGGGAAUCAGCAGUAGAUACUGGCGAACUAGAGGGUGGAAGAGAGAAGUGGAAUUCUCGGAGUAGCGGUAAAAUGCGUAGAUCUCGAGAGGAACACCGAUGGCGAAGGCAGCUUCUUGGUCCACAUCUGACGCUGAAGCACGAAAGCGUGGGGAGCAAACAGGAUUAGAUACCCCCGUAGUCC
rnacentral:rRNA from 1 species